CUUAGCACUACUAAACUGUACACUUGAAAAUGGAUAUAGUCGUAAAAUUUAUGUUAUCUGUAUUUUGUCACAAUAUUUAAAAAAUCACAUUCCCUGAAUAGCAUUUUUGAUUUCUGUAAUAUGGACAGAGACAGCAGAAUUAAUCUGGAUUUAAGUGAAAAGCCCACAUUCUAUUCCUGGCUUUGAAUUCAAACAAGUGUGACAUCCAAGAUUGGUUGAUGUCUCUAAACCUCAUCUCACUCAUAUGCCCCUUGAAUUCAUUCAUACAGGUACCUGCUUAGGUUCUAGGUCCUACUUCCGGGAACAGAGAUGAAUAAGAGGUGGCUUUCUGGGGAAGCUUGAUCUAAGAAAUCAUCUCUGAGCGUCUCUGGGAAGCCCCAAGGGACUCAGCAGGGGUGGUACUCCAGGCACAGCAGCAGUAUGCCCCAAAUUCCAAGCAAACAGGGGCCUAAGAAUUGUAGUGUUGAAGCUGGGCAGCAGAUAAGGACAGCUCCAGGAGGCAGCGCGGAAUAUACACCUCAAGUCACUCCGGCACAGCGGCAAGAGACCCGGGACGUAGUACGCCAGCUCCUGACAGUGAGUGGGUGAGGACAGUAGGGCUCAGUGAGGACAAACAACAUGAUUAUGGCAACCUGUGGACAGAAAGAACUGCGCUUUAGAGACCUAACUACUCAUGGCUCUUGGCCCUACAGCAGGGUGUUGUCUCUUCAAAUAUUUGACUAUAUCCAAAUCUUGUUGGCACCUUCAUGUACUAGACUCUUCUUCUGGGACAGAGGAACCCAUGAUUUGCCUUCAUCAAAGGACAAACAAAGAGGGUGCCAUCUGUGAAUCAGGAAGUGGGGCCUUACCAGACACUAAAUCUGCCAGUGCACUGAUCCUGGACUUCCCAGCCUUCAGAACCAUGAGAGAUACAUUUCUGUUGUUUCUAUGACAUUUUGUUAUAACGGCCCAAACAGAAUAAACAGGCUUGGAGCAGAC
rnacentral:lncRNA from 1 species